GUAGGGAAAGCGCAGUGGCAGAGCACGUUCUUAGAGUGCAUGAGGUCCUGGGUUCAAUCCCCAGUACCUCCA
rnacentral:tRNA from 1 species